GGGGCUGUCAGAUAGCCUGGUCUAGUCUGCGAGGCUCCAGACCUCGUCACGCCGGUUCAAAUCCGGCCAGCCCCA
rnacentral:tRNA from 1 species